CCUACGGGUGGCUGCAGUAGGGAAUCUUCCACAAUGGACGAAAGUCUGAUGGAGCAACGCCGCGUGAGUGAAGAAGGGUUUCGGCUCGUAAAGCUCUGUUGGUAGUGAAGAAAGAUAGAGGUAGUAACUGGCCUUUAUUUUACGGUAAUUACUUAGAAAGUCACAGCUAACUACGUGCCAGUAGCCGCGGUAAUGCGUAGGUGGCAAGCGUUAUCCGGUGUUAUUGUGUUUAAAGGGUGCCGAGGCGGUCCGGAAACGAAGCGGUAAAAGCCCGGGGCUCAACCCCGGAGAGCCGUUGAAAGUGUCGGACUAGAGACGGCGAGAAGUACGCGGAAGGCGCGGUGUAGCGGUGAAAUGCAUAGAUAUCGCGCAGAACUCCGAUUGCGAAGGCAGCGUACCGGCGCCGGACUGACGCUGAGGCACGAAAGCGUGGGUAUCGAACAGGAUUAGAUACCCGUGUAGUC
rnacentral:rRNA from 1 species